rnacentral:rRNA from 1 species
UGGGGAAUCUUGCGCAAUGGGCGACAGCCUGACGCAGCAACGCCGCGUGGGGGAAGAAGGCCUUCGGGUUGUAAACCCCUUUCAGGAGGGACGAAGCCUCGGCGGUUAAUAGCCGUCCGGGGUGACGGUACCUCCACAAGAAGCUCCGGCUAACUACGUGCCAGCAGCCGCGGUAAUACGUAGGGAGCUAGCGUUGUCCGGAAUCAUUGGGCGUAAAGCGCGCGUAGGCGGCCAGAUAAGUCCGGUGUAAAAGCCACAGGCUCAACCUGUGAACGCCGCUGGAAACUGUCUGGCUAGAGUCCGGGAGGGGCGAGUGGAAUUCCUGGUGUAGCGGUGAAAUGCGCAGAUAUCAGGAGGAACACCAAUGGCGAAGGCAGCUCGCUGGAACGGUACUGACGCUGAGGCGCGAAAGCGUGGGGAGCAAACAG